AGGAAUAUUGGUCAAUGGGCGAGAGCCUGAACCAGCCAAGUAGCGUGAAGGAUGAAGGCUCUAUGGGUCGUAAACUUCUUUUAUAUGGGAAUAAAGUUUUCCACGUGUGGAAUUUUGUAUGUACCAUAUGAAUAAGGAUCGGCUAACUCCGUGCCAGCAGCCGCGGUAAUACGGAGGAUCCGAGCGUUAUCCGGAUUUAUUGGGUUUAAAGGGAGCGUAGGUGGAUUGUUAAGUCAGUUGUGAAAGUUUGCGGCUCAACCGUAAAAUUGCAGUUGAAACUGGCAGUCUUGAGUACAGUAGAGGUGGGCGGAAUUCGUGGUGUAGCGGUGAAAUGCUUAGAUAUCACGAAGAACUCCGAUUGCGAAGGCAGCUCACUAGACUGUCACUGACACUGAUGCUCGAAAGUGUGGGUAUCAAACAGGAUUAGAUACCCUGGUAGUCCACACAGUAAACGAUGAAUACUCGCUGUUUGCGAUAUACAGUAAGCGGCCAAGCGAAAGCAUUAAGUAUUCCACCUGGGGAGUACGCCGGCAACGGUGAAACUCAAAGGAAUUGACGGGGGCCCGCACAAGCGGAGGAACAUGUGGUUUAAUUCGAUGAUACGCGAGGAACCUUACCCGGGCUUAAAUUGCAACAGAAUAUAUUGGAAACAGUAUAGCCGUAAGGCUGUUGUGAAGGUGCUGCAUGGUUGUCGUCAGCUCGUGCCGUGAGGUGUCGGCUUAAGUGCCAUAACGAGCGCAACCCUUAUCUUUAGUUACUAACAGGUUAUGCUGAGGACUCUAGAGAGACUGCCGUCGUAAGAUGUGAGGAAGGUGGGGAUGACGUCAAAUCAGCACGGCCCUUACGUCCGGGGCUACACACGUGUUACAAUGGGGGGUACAGAAGGCGGCUACCUGGUGACAGGAUGCUAAUCCCAAAAACCUCUCUCAGUUCGGAUCGAAGUCUGCAACCCGACUUCGUGAAGCUGGAUUCGCUAGUAAUCGCGGAUCAGCAACGCCGCGGUGAAUGCGUUCCCG
rnacentral:rRNA from 1 species